rnacentral:rRNA from 1 species
UACAGAGGGGGCGAGCGUUGUUCGGAAUUACUGGGCGUAAAGGGCGCGUAGGCGGCCCUCUAAGUCGAACGUGAAAUCCCCGGGCUCAACCCGGGAACUGCGUCCGAUACUGGAGGGCUCGAAUCCGGGAGAGGGAUGUGGAAUUCCAGGUGUAGCGGUGAAAUGCGUAGAUAUCUGGAGGAACACCGGUGGCGAAGGCGGCAUCCUGGACCGACACUGACGCUGAGGAGCGAAAGCCAGGGGAGCAAACGGG